UCAUUGGUGGUUCAGUGAUAGAACUCUCACCUUCCAUGCAGAAGACUCAGGUUCGAUUCCUGGCCAAUGCA
rnacentral:tRNA from 1 species